GAACCUGAGUAAAGAGGUUAUAUGAUCUGUCUACAUCACAAAGGAAACUUUCUGAUCCAACAAUUGACAGCAGUGCUGAAGUCUCCAGCUACUGGAAUUCAUUUCAAUUCUGAUAAAUGAAAUAAGAAUGCAUAUUUCUGACCUCUCUUAUUUACAGAACAAAUGAACAAUGUAGGCAGAGAAUACAAGAGAUACAUUGUAACAGACAGCAUGUAUGUAUGAAUCAAUAUACCAACACACCUACCUUCUAAAGCUCUUACUGGUUCAAACAAAAUAUUUCACUCAAACAUAUUGACAAUUCUGAUUCUGUGGAUAAAUUUGUACUGCCUAUGCCAUAGACACCAAUCACCUCUUUGAACCAAGUGAGGAUAUAAAUCAGCAAGUGAAGGCAAGUUUUCAAAGCUUGUUCCAGACAGAACUUCAACAAACCAACUAAACUCCUGUAGAUGGACAGUGUGCACAACUGUUAUCUAGAUUUGGGCCUCCAUGACAUGGGGCUGCAAGCUGGAAAAGUUAACAGAUUCCACAUACACCUCUGAGAUCAACAUUCUAUUUUCAGUGAAAGGAAUGUAUACUGAA